UACGGAGAGUGCAAGCGUUAUCCGGAUUUACUGGGUUUAAAGGGUGCGUAGGUGGGCAGGUAAGUCAGUGGUGAAAUCUCCGGGCUUAACUCGGAAACUGCCAUUGAUACUAUCUGUCUUGAAUAUCCUGGAGGUAAGCGGAAUAUGUCAUGUAGCGGUGAAAUGCUUAGAUAUGACAUAGAACACCCAUUGCGAAGGCAGCUUACUACGGGAUUAUUGACACUGAGGCACGAAAGCGUGGGGAUCAAACAGG
rnacentral:rRNA from 1 species